CCUCUUGCGUCCACAGUUAAUCCUGUUGGAUGUGGUUCGUCCUUCUUGGUGGUAUGCUGACAUUACCCUGGAUACCGUGGCUCUUGAUACAUCACAAAGACUUGCUGUCUUGGUCACAAAUGCGGCAGCAAAACGUGCACCAACGAUUUGUCCUCUUGAACUCUGGUAUGUCACCCAUAAUGUUGUGUGCAUUUCAAUAUUUUGAUCAAAACUGUGCUCUUACCCUGCUAAUUGAACCUUCACACUCUGCUCUUACUGGUGCAAUGUGCAAUCAAUGAAGACUGGCUACCAGGCUGGUCCAAUUUAGCCAUGAAACCUCCCACAUUAAAUGACAGGUGUUUCAGUUUAAUUGUCCAACUCCUGUAUAUUCUAGGCUGCUUAGGGUCCAUAUCAUCAUCCUAGUAUAUUUCACAGUCUUUUACAGCUAAACCUUUUCCUCUCUUCUCAUAUUCAUAAUAGUUAUUUUAAAAACAAAAUCUAAGGGCAGGGGUUUUUAUCUAAACAUGUAAUACAUUUAGUUUCUCAGUGGGGUACAUUCAGACAAUUCUUGCCCCUGAAUUAGAUAGGUAAAUUGUUUCUGAAAGCACGCUGGUUGUAGUUUAGGCUGCUUCCCACCGCAGUCCGUCAAACAGAGUUUGGAAUGUUGUAACAUUCAGUUCAUGCAGCUUGAACCAAGGGGCUGUGGCAGGAAAUGGCCUGGGUCCAGCUUGGCUCCGCUUCAGGCUUUUUCCUUUUGGGUUAUUGCUCCAUAGAAGUGUUUUCAUCCAUGGACAUCUGGGACCUACCAUGCCCUGGACUGACACCAUAGAUUGGUUCUUCCAUAUCUGGAUACGGGUUCUACGAGAUGUGUUCUACCAAGGGAUGUGUGACUCUCCUGGUCUUCCAUAGCCUGCAGUUAGAAUGGUUUAUUAAGAAAAACAAGUGGAGGACUUCAAGAUUUCUGCACCUGAUCAGGACGAACACUGAAGGGAGAAGGAGAGUAUUAAUA